GGUGAAUGUCACAAUACGGUUUGCUUUUACUGCAAUAAAAUGCACAUAUUUGUAUUCAGCGAUGUCUCAUGCGUAAAACAGUACCCCCUAUGUACAGGUUUUAUGAGGUUUUGGGAAGUUACAGGGUCAAAUAUAGCACGUUACAUUUUUCCGUUUAUACACAUUGAAAUUUGCCAGAUUAGUUAUGUUGCAGAGACCGUAUGGUAGCCCAGGAAUGAGAAUAACCCCCAUGAUGGCAUACCAUUUGCAAUAG